AAAUUGAAGAGUUUGAUCAUGGCUCAGAUUGAACGCUGGCGGCAGGCCUAACACAUGCAAGUCGAACGGUAACAGGAAGCAGCUUGCUGCUUCGCUGACGAGUGGCGGACGGGUGAGUAAUGUCUGGGAAACUGCCUGAUGGAGGGGGAUAACUACUGGAAACGGUAGCUAAUACCGCAUAAUGUCGCAAGACCAAAGAGGGGGACCUUCGGGCCUCUUGCCAUCGGAUGUGCCCAGAUGGGAUUAGCUUGUUGGUGGGGUAACGGCUCACCAAGGCGACGAUCCCUAGCUGGUCUGAGAGGAUGACCAGCCACACUGGAACUGAGACACGGUCCAGACUCCUACGGGAGGCA
rnacentral:rRNA from 1 species